ensembl:lncRNA
CCCUAGGCCAUGGGGUUCAUCACUAGGGGUCAACCCUAGGACAUGGGCUUCAUCACUAGGGGUCAACCCUAGGACAUGGGGUUCAUCACUAGGGGUCAAGCCUAGACCAUGGGGUUCAUCACUAGGGGUCAACCCUAGGACAUGGGGUUCAUCACUAGGGGUCAACCCUAGGUCAUGGACUUCAUCACUAGGGGUCAACCCUAGGACAUGGGGUUCAUCACUAGGGGUCAACCCUAGGACAUGGACUUCAUCACUAGGGGUCAACCCUAGGACAUGGGGUUCAUCACUAGGGGUCAACCCUAGGUCAUGGACUUCAUCACUAGGGGUCAACCCUAGGUCAUAUGGACUUCAUCACUAGUCACUAAGUGUCCUCUAAAGUUUAGUCAUUGUGAUUUUGUCCAAAGUAGAGCUUUUCUCAUGUUCUCCUGUUAUGAGGUACUGUUGAUGUGUAACUGUUGUACUGCAAUGAGAUGAUCAAUACAAGAUCAAUACAUAUUGAUACCUCAGAUGUCUCGAAUCCCAUAUUAAAGAUCAAUACAUGUUGAUACCUCAGAUGUCUCAAAUCCCAUAUUAAAGAUCAAUACAUAUUGAUACCUCAGAUGUCUCGAAACCCAU